rnacentral:tRNA from 1 species
GGUGUAAUAGCUCAGUGGUAGAGUGCAUGCUUAGCAUGCAUGAUGCCCUGGGUUCAAUCCCCAGUACCUCCA